rnacentral:lncRNA from 1 species
UGCUUUAUAUUUUGGAAGAGCUAAGUGUGUAUUUGGAAAUGACCAUGUAUUCAUUUUGGGAAAAUAUGUAAAUGUAAUUGAAAGAGUGCUAUGUAAUGUAAUAGCUAGUAGAUCUCUCUUUAUUUCACUUGUAUUACUUGUGGAUUACUUGUUCUUUUUGUUGGCACCGGUUGUGCCCGUUGAUUGUGUAUGUAUUGAAUUUAAUAUCCUGGGUGAAUUCUUGUACACA